rnacentral:rRNA from 1 species
AGCAGCCGCGGUAAUUCCAGCUCCAAUAGCGUAUAUUAAAGUUGUUGCAGUUAAAAAGCUCGUAGUUGAACUUCGGAAUUCGUCCAUUGGUCAGGCUUAAUUGUCUGUACUGGUGAGACGAGUUUCUACCUUCUGAAGAACCUUCAUGCUAUUUAGUUAGUGUGUUGGGGAAUCAGGACUGUUACUUUGAAAAAAUUAGAGUGUUUAAAGCAGGCUUAUGUCUGAAUACAUUAGCAUGGAAUAAUGAAAUAGGACGGUACGGUUCUAUUUUGUUGGUUUCUAGGAUCGCCGUAAUGAUUAAUAGGGAUAGUUGGGG